GCUUGGAUAGCUCAGUUGGUUAGUGUGUGGCGCUGAUAACUCCAAAGAUUGCAGGUUUGAUCCCUGCGUAUUCCUCCAUUGCA